CUCUAAACCCGAUUGAAGUGGAAAUACUUUUUGUUGCAGCAACCCUUGAAUAUACUGUCAUGCUGAGGUACGAAGCAUCUGCAACCGAUAAAACAAAUUCUUCGUUCCUUAGAAGGACAGAAGUUGAAAAAGAUUGCAACAAAAAGCGGGACUGAAU
rnacentral:sRNA from 1 species